rnacentral:rRNA from 1 species
UACGAAGGGUGCAAGCGUUACUCGGAAUUACUGGGCGUAAAGCGUGCGUAGGUGGUGCGUUAAGUCUGCUGUGAAAUCCCCGGGCUCAACCUGGGAAUGGCAGUGGAUACUGGCAAGCUAGAGUGCGGUAGAGGGUAGUGGAAUUCCCGGUGUAGCAGUGAAAUGCGUAGAGAUCGGGAGGAACACCAGUGGCGAAGGCGGCUACCUGGACCAGCACUGACACUGAAGCACGAAAGCGUGGGGAGCAAACAGG